rfam:Triticum urartu cultivar G1812 contig1066462, whole genome shotgun sequence.
UAUAUACUCUUUCCAUCCCAAAAUUCUUAUCUUAGAUUUGUCUAAAUACGAAUGUAUCAAGUCACGUUUUAGUAUUAGAUACAUCCACAUCUAAAAAAAAAUCUAAGACAAGAAUUUUGGAACGGAGUACUUU